GGACCGCCACUACCCUGAGAUGACAAAGAAAUGGAUGAACUCCAGCAGUGCAUUUUCAGUUUGGGAUUCAGCUCCCAAUGCUCGAAAUCCUAUCCCACUUUACCUGCGUGUUCCUCAGUGAAAGCAAAUUAAUUAUAGCAUCAGUUGUACUGCUUUAAGAAGUUUUGCAGGUGCCAUUCGCGCACAAACGUUGUACCGUGUUCUUCGGUUUGAAGGAAACUGUAAACUCUUUCUUGGCCUCUGCUGUUCUCAUUACUGUUAAGUCGGCCAUAUACGUAGUUCCAGGCCUUGUUUGGAUUGCGUUACCUUUAGGCGCUGUCCUAGCCCGUUCAGAUCAAUAUCCUUUGUUAUUUAUUUAUUUAUUUUCGAGUGAAUUGCUGACAUCCACAUCUUCUUGUCUUCUUAUCUUUCUUAUUCUCAAGUAAAGAAGAAAAGGCAAAAGGGGAGUUUGUGUCACAUAAAACGUUUUAUUCUUGCAGUGUUGUGGGCACGAAAAUUGAAAACUCCCAAGCAUUAUGCUUAGUUUAGGAGUUUUAUUAGCUUUUCACUUUUUAAGCGAUUUGCCAAGGAGAUCCCAAUUCCACCUAUACCUAUUUAAUUUGGUGUUAAAAAGGUUGGAAAUACUAUUAACUACUAAUUGAUACUUUCGAUUGAAACAAACCAAAGAACCUACUUCUUGAUUGUUGCUGCUUGUGUCUUCAUACGCGUUAUUACCUACUUUUCGUGUUGGGUAAAACCCAAAGUUACACUGUACUAUCACCGUAGACUAAACAUAUGAUUAAUCAUCAUACAUCAAAUAUUGGCUUCAAGCCAAUAUGCAUGAUAAGUGUUUAUGACCAAAUUAGUUCAAAAGUUUUUCAGUUAUAUACCCGCGGAAUCAAGAGUGAUUUGUGCGUCCAUUUUGAAAAGACUAGCACCUUCAAGACAGUUUCUUGAGGUCUGAUUAUACCACUUGCUAUUAAUAUUGUUUCCUUUUUUUUGUUUGGAGUACAACAUUAUACGAAAUGGUCCUAUACUAAGGGGUGAGGGAAGGGGGAUGGAGAUGGAUCAAACUAAGGCCUUGUUUUGGAACCUAAGUUUUUGCCAAGUUUGUCUGCUACAAGUUUUUUAAAAACUUUAGCUAUAGUAAUCUCAAAAAUUUCUUAAAGUUUUUAAACUAUACACUUCAAAAUAUUCAAAAAUCUACACAUUUCAAAAAUUUUUUAAAAAACUUUUACAGUAGGCUAAAAUAAAGUUUUAGACAAACUCCAAAAAACUCACCUUCUCUAGAAGUGUUUGAAAAAUUCUUGAAUAGCCAAGGGAUUUGGAGCCCCUUACCUACAAAAUUCCCUCCCUUGGUGUUUCUAAAACUCGAAGCGCUUUUUUUUACCAUAGUCCAAGGUAGAGUUGCAAACGAAUCGAACUGUUCGCGAGUCGCCUGAGUCAAAGUUCAAUUCAAAUUCGAUCAAUAUCGAGAUCAAGUUGGCCAAAUCGAACUUAAGUUCAAAAAUAUUAAGAUUGUUAGCGCGCGAUAUAUAUUUUUUAUUUUUUAUUUUAAUAGUAAAAUUACACAUAUAUCAUUUAUAUUUUAUUAUUUAUUAAGAAAAAAAAUAUAAUUUUUUUUUUAUUUUUUAUUUUUUUAUUUUUUGAACUCGAACUUUAAAUUGGUAGCUCGUCGAGCUCAAGCUCGAAUUGGAGCGUGAUAAAACUAAGUCAAGGUUCAACUCGAUUAGAUCAAAGUUCGACUCGAUUCGACUCAUUUGCAGCUCUAGUCCAAGGAUUCUACGCUGUAAUUGGGGGAGGGUUGGGUGAUAAGUUGGAGAAGUUAUAAGUAACAGAUUUUAAAUUCAAAUUUUCUUACUUAAAAAAAAAUCUACACCGUGCUUUAAUUAAUUAAAGAAUAAAUUUUAUAUACAUUGACAGUGUAUAUAUUAUAAUAUUGGAUAAAAAUCUACACAAUACUUUAAUUAAUUAAAAUAUAAAUCUUAUAUUUAUUGACAGUGUAUAUAUCACUUGUUGAAUCCAUGAUAUCUGUCAAUAUAGUAAAAAUUAAUCUUUAAUUUAAAAAAAAUUAAGGAGAUGUACUACUUAAGAGUAGUAUGAUAGUUGAGCAUUUUCCUACCCUCUUACUUUUUCUCCCCGUCCCCGGCCGCAGCGAUCGAAAGAAAUUUCUUGGACUAUUUUAUUUCCAACUCCCCCAAGACUAAGCUAUCCAGCCUGCUUUGCUCCUAACCCUUUUUUAUUUCCAUGGGUACCCCUAUUCCUUGUGUCCUUUUCCUUGUUAAAGCAUCAAAACUUCAACACAGAAACUUUUUAAUACAUAUUCCCCCUCCUCCGCACUUCAACUCUAGUUUUUGUUUUUCCAUUUUUUUUCCUUUUCUCCACACCGCGAGCCCGGCCUGCAGCUCGAAUUGUGGCCAUUCUGUUCUUACAGUCCCCAAAUUGCCUCCCUGCUGUUCAUCUGCCUCUAAUCUCAAUUGGGUAAGUUCUAACUUUUUUUGCCUUUCCUGCUGUCCGUGCUGUUUUUGCACCUUGCAUAUUCACGUAUUUUGGGGUUGAGGGCUAGGGGGGUGGGGGUGGGGAUGGAGGUGGAGGUGGGGGUUUCGUAAGCAUAUUUACUUUGAUGGGCUCACUCUAAUUAUCUAUUUAUCUUGAUUUUCGUGGUUCUUUAAAUUCACUCUGGUUAUGUGUGACACUGAGAUCUAGUUCAAUUCCAUUGUUUUAUUUUUAAUUGCUGCUUUAGCUUGUUGCUUUACGUUCUGUUUAGCUGGUCAAUUGUAAAAUGAUUGCCAGUUAUGUGUUUUCUCUUUAACCCCUAAGGAUAUGGUUACUAAUUUGUUGGCAGGAGGUUGAAUUUAGAGCCAAUGUCACAAGGUUAUGCAUUGGAGCUUUACUUUGAUCCUGCACUUGAAAACCAGGUCUUGAAGGCCUGGAAUGUGUUGGCUCGCCGACAGAUUAGUACUCAGCUUAUUGAAAUUGAAUCCAGACCCCACAUUACCUUAUUUUCUAGCCCGCUUGUCGAUGUCUCAAAACUUGAAAACACUGUGAAAAACUUUGCUUCAAAGCAAGAACCUUUGCCGUUGUCAUUUUCUUCAAUUGGAAGCCUUGCUAAUGACAACAACGUUCUCUUUCUUGCGCCAACACCAUCCUUAUCUCUCAUUCAAUUCCACCUUCAAUUGUGUGAUGCAAUGAGAAAAGAUGGCAUUGAAAUUGGGGAGGAUUAUCGCCCUGAUUCAUGGAUUCCACAUUGUCCUGUUGCCGAAGAAGUGCCAAAGGCUCGAAUGGCUGAGGCAUUUACUGUUUUACGGGAUUUGAAGAUGCCAGUCACUGGAUAUGCAAUGGAUAUUGCAUUGGUUGAGUAUCCACCAGUCCGCGAACUAUGCUCCUUUGUGCUUGGUGGCGGCACUGUUGAACCUUGAGACUUCAGAUAUCUUGCCCUGAUAGUCAAUGGUAAUGUGAAAUUAGGUACUAAAUUUUUGUUCCUUGCAUUUUCUUGUUGUACAAACUGGUUGUAGAUUGCAGCAACGGUGCUAUAGUAGUGAGAUGACUCUUUAUAGCUCUAUGAACUGAAAGGCGAGUUGAAUUUUGUUCUUGUCCGUUGUAUUUUUCGUUAAAAAUUAAGUUAUUCAUGUGGAUGCGCCUAUGAACUAUGUCUAUAUUUUUUUUGGUGAUUAUUACACUGGCUAUUGGACUUAGGCGUAUCAUUCCUAGGAUUUAUAUAUGCUUUUGCGCUUUACUUGGUUUUGUUUUUUAAGGAAAUGUUCCAAGUUCAGAGGUUACUGAUGGUGUAUUUACUCUUUCACAUUUCAAUGCAGUAGUUGUGCAAACAGUAGCAAUAUAGACAAAAUCUUCCAAGGAUAUAUAUAUAUAAAAUCCUUAAAGCGGCUGUCUGGGUCUCCUGUUGAAGUACAAGACACUAAUAGGACUUGACCUUUCUCUUUUCUUUUUUUUUUUUCCCUUCUUGGUAAAGAAUAGGACUUUAGCCUUGCUUAGCUUGAAAAUUUAUUUGAAUUGCCUUGCUGACAACUACAUAUUAUUUCCUUUACUUUCUCAGCCAAAUGGUAUAUUCUAUUGGAAAUUAUGUCAGCGAGCAAUUCCCCUUCUUUAGUCUGUGGUUUCAUAUAAUCUUCUAAUAUUUUACAUUUUAGAAAGUACUGAGUAUUUUUGUCUUAAGAAGUGAUUGGCCCCUGAGCAUGACACGGUUCUGAAGAAAUUCAGGUUCUUGAAUAAUAACUGGCUGUAUAUUUUAACAGCACCACCAAAUCCCUGCUUCGACAUCUUUUAUCUGUUAUCAGUUUCUUUUAGGCCUAAAAAGAUGAAAUGGAUGAGGGCGGUGGGAUCUCUCAAGUCUCAACUGCUUGGCGGACUGCUGGUGGUUGAUGAGUAUACUGUGAAAUACAUUUGAUUUAGCACAUCUUUGAUUCUAUUUGCGUUUCACCUUUCUUCCUAUGAAUCUUGAGCCAUGCGUUCUAGAGCCGAGAGGAUUGCGGGAUUGUCUUCGGAGCACUUGAAGUAAAAAGUCGUUCCAAGUGUCAAUGGGUCCUGGCAAACACCAGUGGAUGCAGUCACUGUAUCCCUUCAUCCAUUGGUUUCCCCAGUGUAACCCAGGGUGGCCAUCUGGCCUCAUAAGCAUAGCUCUUGUAACAUCAAGAAUAUCAAAUGCAUUCCCUUUUUUCUCUCCCAAUUUGCGUGCACUGUCAAUCUCUGCCAAUUGAAUCCUCCUAUAAUACCAAUCCAGGCCACCACCAUCCUUAAUCUCCUCUGGGGCCAAUGGGCUCGUUCUAGUGCAGGUCCCUCCAGUGUUCCAUCCGCCAUUCUCAAACUGGGAUGGUGAGAAUGUUCUUAAUAUAGUCACAAUCCUCGGGCAGUUGUUGCAGUCGUUUAUGUGCUUAAGAGCAAGUCUAAAAGCUUUUUGGAUGGCAAAGCCGGGACCGAGGUCCGUCACAUUAGUCUCCUGGCAGUAAAUACAUCCAACAAAACGACCGCCCUCAUACAGGUAGUUGGGUCUGAAGAACCACUGGCCAUCCGAGAUAAUGGCGUAGUCGAUGGCAGAUAGUUUUUGCACCCAACUCUCGUCGAUCUUGUCAAGGUGCAAAUGGAAUCCGCCGGUUGCUGACCCAUUUACUAUUAUCUCCGAGGCUGAGACGAGGAAUUGGGUCCAGAGGACAAUGAUGGUGAAGUUGUGACGAGGAAAGUGGCAUGUUGCGGUUCGGUCUUCCGCAUCCCUGUAUACUUGGUUUGGCGUUUCUUCCUGCAAAAUGGAGUUCCUUGAAGCUAAAAUUAUUCUUAGAUUUAUAGCGGCGCAGCUCGUUAUCGCAUAUUAGAAAGUCGGGAAAUCCUCUGUAAAAGAUUGAUCUUCGUCAUCAAGGUCUAUAGAUAGACAUACAAGUUUGCCGACAUUAGGGGAAGAUUUCAUGGUGAGGAAUGCUGCAAGAACCUGAUAUUGUUUUUGGCCAGUAGAAGAAUCAUAGGAAAAUGAGGAAUUGGUAAAUAUGCCUUCUUUUUUUUCGGUUGGUUGAACUUUUGAUUCAUCAAAAACUAAAAGUUCCAUUAAUUAUCAAUAGCUUCCUAAUAUCUUUCGUUUUUUUUUUUUAAUCAAAGAAAAAACAGUAACUUCAACUUUCUUUUUCCUUCCUAUAACUCUUAAUUGACUUUUUCACGUAACUUUCUUCUAAUUAAAUGUAGCCUAUUAAGGGCGACUAAGGCUAUUGACAGAUUUUUACCAAUAGCUACUGGAAUUAGAUUACACGUUGUUACGUAUCGACAAUUAAUUUUUAAAAAAAGAACUAAAAAUCUGAAAUAAAUAUUGUUGGCCAUAGUUUAUGGUAAAAAAUGGCUAAUUACUUGCAUGCCGAUCACGUAAGUUAUUAGUCUUUAACCCAGAAAUACGAUCAAAUUUGGUUGACAAAAAAAAAAAAAUAGGUUAAAAACUAAUUACUCACAUGACCAGCGUAUGAAUACUUAGUCACUUUUUAUUACAGAGUAUGGCCAGUAAUAUUUUAUUACUUUUUUAGUUUUGGGGUAUUAAAAUUGCUUAUAAAAUGUCUAUAAAUUAGUAAGUUGGAUACUAUAUCCAACUGGAUCGUAACUAACAUGCCACCACUGCUAGUGCAAUGGGUUCAUUGGUUCAUGAUUGACGUGUUUGAAUGUUUGAUGUAGUAGUUGCUGUCUUUUGUGCAGAUAUUAAAAUAAAAUUAUUUUUUUCAUAAAAAGAUGAAAAGAUAAAAAUAAUAAAUAAUAAUAAAAAAUAAAAAGUUGACACGUCUGAAUGUGCCAAGGAUUUCAACAACUAACCGCAGAGAGUAAACAGAGAAGCGAUUCCAUCUGAUUCCUGGCAAGGGAGUCACCGAUGAAAGCCAUCGUCUUUCCUUGAACAAUGUUCAGGAAGCUCCUGAGGUUGAAGACUGGAAGUUCGCAUUGGUCUGGCUUCCAUCUCCAGUGAAGGAAGUCCUUGUCCGUCCGUCCGUGCAAUAAGCAGUUCCUCUGAUAGGGCAGCGUUUUACAGCUAAAAUUUGUAUAUAAAGGCCCUCUCACAUCCCGAAUCCAACGGCCCGUAAACAAGUCACAUUUUUCAUCAUCUACAAAACCAAAUGACAGAGCAUCUUAUAUUUAUAAUUAGUGCUAGUGAUACUACAUUAAUUUUCACAAGCAGCAGAAGAAAUGAAAGAGGAGGAAGGAAGUUCUUGUCAAGAUUAUAAACGACGAAAUGAUCGAUGGGUACCUAGCUUACCAUUUCCGGGCUGAACUAAGGAGUUUCUUUGGUCAAAAUGGUGUCCAUGUGUGGAGUUGAAGGCGAACCUGAGGGAAUUGGAAGCACACAGACAUAGAAAACUGAGCAAGAUGGUAAAACAUAACGAGUAGAUUAGAAAAGAUGGUCGUCGUUAACCAAGGUGAGAAGUUUCUCUUUGUCGAUGAGGUAAUGCUCAUGAAUACGUCGGCAUACUUUUGAAGUUGGCUUCAUCUUGAGUCGACUCUGGUCUCUCUCUGAUGUGAUUUCUGUGUGCAUACGAGAAUCUAAUUCGAUCAAAGCUCAUACAAAUGUAUGAUGCGCAAUUCGACAAAUCCUAAGUGCUGCCCCCGGUUUUUGUCUGUUCCAAAAAUAGGGGCUUUCACAAGACUCCCUGCAGUUCAUUGGUCUUUGAGCACCUUUUAAUGUUUAGAUGAAUGGAGAAGUGAAUUAGUGACAGAGGUCAUGAAGGUAGAAGAUCAUGAAUUCAUGAUAGAUGUUGUGUUUGGCCUUGAAUUCUCGCGUUCAAUGCCCUGACUUCUGGUGUUUGACCGUUGGCCUUUUUGUCUUGCUGUCACUUUCCCGUCUCUCCCGUCCACCUUGAUGUCCAUGUUUUCUUCUUUUUAGCGUGAUUGGAGCUGCUGUGGAUCCGUAACUCGUAGUUGUAGGUGAACUAGCCAGCUUAGCUAAUGACUUUCUUUUCUUUUCUUCUUUUCUUCCAUCGUGAAUCAUGCAAAGGCAAGAAAAGAAAAGAUUCUGAACACUCAUCCUUAAUGAAUCCAUCUUCCACAAGCAACAAACUCUCUAGGCGACCCGAUUCUUUUCUAUAAUGGGAAAAUGCGCAUAAUGGCUUCUUAUGGGCUUAGUUCUGUUACUUAAGCCUCCACAGUGUACCUGAAUCACUAAUUUGAAUCAUAAUUGCCCAACAAAUGAUUAGAAAAUUGUGAGCAAAAUUUUGUCUGCAUCAAUGAUAAAUUUGUGUACGCCAGAAGAUUAAAGAUGCAAAUAUUAGAAAAAGAAAAAGUACUAGUUAGGAGUGUUAACUUUUCAUGGAAAAGCCCAAUGUAGGCUGGUGUUAAGUUUCACAACAAAUAUCGAUCUGCACUAUCUCAACUUAUGCGACAAUAAUUUCAGGAAGGGUCAAGCGCUGCUUCUCCACUCAUUGAUUCAUAUUGAAUAUUGGGCAUUUGUUUAGGUCUUUGCUUAGAGAAUUUGCGAGCAGUGGACAUGUUCUUGGAUAUCUGUCCAAAGCGUGCUUUUAAAGAUGAAGAUGGAUGGUUAAUAUUUUUGCGUGCUCCCAAGAAAGGCACCUCAAAAGGCGCCCUAAUGACAUCCUACGGUUAAGUAUCCUAUGUUGAAAGAGAGAUAAGGAAGUAAUCGUAAUUAAUUAAUCUACCCGGGGAACACGUUUAUACGCAUGUCAGAAUCUCAUUCGUUCUCUCCACUGAAUGUAAAAACUGUCUUCUGAUAAAACUGGCGCUGAAAAGGACUGAAGGCACUCGUCAUUAAUCCUUUGAUCGGCCACCCGAUUUUAUCCUACAGUAUACAAUUUCUGAAAUUUCAUUGCAGAACCUCAUACCGUGGUCAUUCUGAUGAAACCGUCAGACAUUUUUUUCCCCCAACUUUGCUAGUAACAAAGUAACAGUUAGAGCUGGCAAUUUGUCCCAAGUCCCAAUGGGCUACCCAUGCCCAAAGGAACUUUGGGCGGGAUGGGUAUUAUAAUUUGGUAUUGGGUUUAAGUUGGGACACAUCCCAACUAUACCCAUUAAUGAAUGGGAAAGGAUGGGAAAUACUUGGGUACCCAUUGGGCUCAAAUGGCAAGGGCUCCGUUUGGAUUAGCUGUUUUUGGUAGGUAUUUUUGAAAUAUUUUAUUGUAGCAGUGUAUAUGAAAAAUUUUUACUAUAAAAUUUUUUUGAAUAUUUGAUAUAUUAAUAUGGAUGGGAUGUUUCUUGAGUUAUUGUAUAUUACUGUAACAUUGUAUUUGAAAAACUUAUUUUUUGAAAAAAAAGUCAAUCCAAACGGAAUCUUAGAUUCAAAAAUUAUCUUUAACAAUUUUUAUAGUCAUACCAGCGAAUAUAAUCUAGUAGUCUUCCUAGUCAUUAUCCACAAGAAUUUCCAGCAUUUCAGUUAGUUUAGACCUGUCAUCCUUGGACAAUGAUAAGGAUAAAUAUUCAACAUCCUAAGGACCUUGGCCAUCUUGAUAUAUGUUGGAAUAUGGCUGUAUAUCUAUCUUUUCCUUUAUUUGUUAAUCCAAUUUUUGGUGGGAAUCUUGAGUAUAAAGCACUUGCAUGUUUAUUUAAUAAAACUAAAAGAAAUUUAAUAAAUCAAAAAUAUUAAAAUUAUAUAAAAAUAAAAAAUGAAUUAAAGGAAAAAAAAUAUGUAGAAAAUGGAUUUGGGUAUUGGGCGGGAUCAAUCUAAACCCAUCCCAAAAUGAUCCCGCCCAAGUUAGUCCCAAAACACAUAUGGGUAAGGUUGGGCCCAAACCCAUAUGACUCGGUUCCAUCUCAAACCCAAGCAAAUCCCGCCAAUUUUGCCACCUCUAGUAACAGUGCAUGUUUAUAAUGCUGAAAGCACCCCCGCAUGACCUUACUGCCACAGAAGCUCUAUGUAUGGAUGGAUUACAGCUCUUAGCUGGUCCAUCAAAGUCUUCGCUACCUAGUUCUAUUAAUAUCAAAUGAAUCUAUAACAUGAUAAACAACCUAACAUGUGAUGCCGUGGCCUUUCGUAUCUGAUUGAUGAGUACUGAAAAAUAACUUCGAAUUAGUUAUGAUCUCUUUUAUUCAUAUCCCUCCAUCAAAAUGAUCUUGACCCAUGUCAUCUGGAUCGAAGAGGAAAAUGGGAUUGUCUCCUGAGCACCUCAAGCAAAAAUUCAUUCCAAACAUCAAUAGGCCCUGGCAAGCACCAAUGGACACAAUCACUGUAUCCCUUCUUUUUGUUUCGCCAGUGUAAUCCAGGGUGGCCAUCAGGCCUCAUCAGCAUUGCCCCAGUGACAUCUAGAACAUCAAACCUAUUCCCGAUUUUCUCUCCCCGUUUGCGGGCACUCUCAAUUUCUGCCAUUUGGAUGUUCCUGUACUCCAUGUCUGCGCCACCAGCGUCCUGAAUCUCCUCCGGGGCUAAUGGGCUCGUUCUGACACAGCUCCCCCCAGUCUUCCAUGUCCCAUUCUCAAACUGGGAUGGCGAAAUUGUUCUCAACAAAGUUAAAAUCCCAAAGCAAUUCUUGCAAUCGUUUAUGUACUUAAAAGCGGUUCUAAAUGCUCUUUGGAUGGCAAGGCCCGGACCGAGGUCAGUCACAUUAGGCUCCUGGCAGUAAAUACAUCCAAUAAGAUUGCCACCCUCGUAUAGGUAAUUCUGCCUGAGGAACCAUUGGGCAUCCGAAAAAAUGGCAUAAUCUACGACUGGUAGUUUGGGCGCCCAAUUAUCAUCAACCUUGUCCAGGUGCACAUCAAAACCGCCGGUUACUGACCCAUUGACUAUUGUCUGCGAGGAAGUGACAAGGAAUCGGGACCAGAGGGACAUCAUUGUGAAGUUGUAAUGAGGAAAAUGCCAUGUCCUGAAUCGGUCUUUAGCGUCCUUGUAUACGUCUUUUGGGGUUUCCUCCUGCAAUUCAUGGAGUUACUUAAAUAGAUAAUUAAGCUAAACUAGUAGAAAUAAGAGAUGCCCCAAUCCAACAUCAAACAAUUCAUCUUCUAAAAAACUUAAAAAAAAAAAAAUCAUCUUCUCAUCAUUGUUUGUAAACCAUUUCCAAACUUUGAGGGGGACGACUUUGUCAUAGGAAACCAUGCAAAGCUCGUAGAAAUAAGAGAUUAACUGGUUCAAUAGGCGUAAAAUUUUUCUUACAGAUUAAGUGGUUUAAAUGGGUGUAAAAUUUUUCAUACUAUACGGAAUUUUUGACAUGCAAAUUAACAUUUUUCUAGUUUUUUUUUUUAAUGUUCAGGCACAAUUCAUCUUCCCAAAAGAUAUCACUGACAAAAUACCAAACAAUAAAUUAGUUAAAAAGAUGAAGUAUUUCCUAGGUAGCAAAUAGUGUGUAAAUAGGAGGAAAUGGAAAAUUGAUGUACUUGCUGGCUUCCAAAAUCGGAGCAUCUUAACUUUACUAGUUCGAUAUUAGUGUUCAGCUGUUAAAAAAAAAAAAAAAAAAACUUACAGAUAUGAUAUGUGGACAUGCUAAGAAAAAUGGACGACGCAGGUAUUUAACUCGAGAAAAGAAUGUGUGAAGUCAGGUGGGAUGAAAAAUAUUGGUCCAUCCAAAACAAUCCGAGAUUGUGGCAUAAUUUUCUCUGUUUUUAAUGUUGAAAAAACUAUCAAGUGAUAAAGUUGUGGUUACAGGAUAGACAUGUGUGAGUGAAGGCGAGAAGAAUGUGUACAACAACAAACCGUAGACAGUAAACAGAGCAGCGAUUCCAUCUGAUUCCGGGAAACUGAGUCACCUAUGAAAGCCAUUGUUUUUCCCCGUGCGAUGCUUAGGAAGCUCCUGGGAUCGAAGACGGGAAGUUCACAUUCGUCGGGCUUCCAUCUCCAAUGAACGAAAUCCUUAUCCAUCCUCUCAUGCAAGAAACAAUUCUUCUUGUCCGGGAUCGUUUUACAGCUGAAAUUCGUGUACAAAGGACCUUUCUCGUCCCAAAUCCAACGACCCUUAAACAAGUUACAUUUUUCAUCUUCUGCCAAAAAAUAAUAAUAAUAAUAAUAAUACGACAGCAGAAGUGAGUUUGGAUGUGUCUAAAAUUCUGAAUUAAAUAGUGCGAUCAGAUUCUUUCGUGAUGAGACGAAGGAUUAUACUGUAUACAAGGAGCUGCUUAAUUAAUUACCUUUGGCAGGAGGAUGUAGCGAGGAUGAUGAGUUGCUUGGGACAUAGCCUACAUUUUUGGCGGUGAAGUUGAUGGAAUCGGGGGCACGCAGUGCGUAGAAUAUGAGCAAUAUCGUAAAGCACACAGAGCAGAUCAACAGCAGUGGUCGGCUAAGCAAUAUGAAAAUUUUCUCUUGUUGACGAAACAAUAGCAUUGCUGAAUAUUUGCUCUAAAAUUUGAGGAUGGCUUCAUCUGAUGCCUAGACUCUUUAAUUCGGGUGGAGGAGAUAUCUUGAGAGACUUUGAGCGUUAAAUAGGUAUUAAAAGGAUUGGAAAAUAACAAGACUAUAUUAGAGACCAUCCGUAACUAUUUGAUAGUAUCCCAAUACACUUAAAAGUAUUUGAUUGACCUCCCAACUUAAUCUUAUCUUUAUCCGUAUAUAUAAUAUAUCAGGUAGUUUCACCCUCUAUAAAAUAGACACUCACGGGUUGUUAAGAUCUCAAAAGCCCUUGCUCAUAUUCUCCUCAACCCUUGCUCAAUCGAUUCAUGUAGUUGUAUUAACAUUUGCAUAUUUGCAACUUCAGAUAGAUGUAAAUGUAAAAAAGGAAAGUGAUGGAUACUACUAUAAUUACAAACUGUCCUGUGGAAAGAUGUUGUUUUGCAAAUUGCUCAGCAUUUUGCAUCCCAUAAUCUUUGAAACUAUUACAUUCAUCCCUGCAAUCGCCUCAGGUGAAGCUAAAAACACUUUCCACCCUACUAAAAAAGGUUGUUUGACCUAUUCAAAACUUAAAGAUUUGUCAACAAUAGAACAAUUUUUAGAGAUUUAGAAACCAAAUUUGCAAUACUAUAUUUAUGGCCCUAUUUUUGUGUAUAACAACUAUAGUUAUUUAUUUGUUCCUGUUCAUGUAAAGUACGAGAGAAAUGAGAAAUAAAGUAACUGAAGCUACGAAUGCCGUGAUUUUUCAAAUUCUGACUUUUUUCUUUUUACAAUAAUGUUUUCAUCUUUCACACCCAUGAAAAAGUCGGUCUAUUUCAAGUAAAUUCUCUGUAUGAUAUUGAAGUUUAAAUUCAUCUAUUGCUAAACUUUUUUACUCAAAUGUAUGGAUUUUAAAUGCUAAUUGCCUUCAACACUAUGGAGGAUUUUAUUUGUAGAAAUGGUUUAAAGAAUAAUAUAUUUGUUUUUACUGUCUCUCAUGGAAAAUAGAAGUGACUAUAUAUUAGCUACAACAUAAAUCUUUAUUGACUUGCACUCCCUCAAAAUGGUUCCAAUUUAGUACUUUUUUUAUUGGUUUGUAAAAUGUUCAUUUUUUUUAAUAGUCCAAUGGUAUUAAGGGCACUAAAAUUGUCUCUCUCCUCCUCCACAUGAAUUUUCUAAUAUUAAUUUUGGUUAGAAGAGUUGACAAUGUUACCAAAAUGUCAAUUCAAGGGGUGCUAAGUGAGAUUUUAAAAAUUUCAAGGGAAUUAAGUGAUACUUCGUGAAACCUCAAAGGAGGUUUCUGAAAUUAUUCCUUCCUCAAAUAGUCAAAUUCUUUAUAAUUGCAUUUCAACACAUACGAAAACAAUUGCUAUUUUCUUUUCUUGGUUUGUAGAUAAAUGUAUUGUAGUGAUUUAAUAUAUGUAAAAUAAAAAGGUGAUUGAGAAAAAUAUAUCUACGAAAAUUGUAAUUUUUUUUAAAAAAAUGGCAAUCCAAAUAAAAGCAUUUACCCUUUCAUCGCACCAUCUUUGUUGCACUCAAAACUUUUCGAGAUUAAACAUGCUUUUGUUGCAUAGAAUAUUAAUAAAAAAAAGGUUGGUGAUGUCCAUCUAUUCUACUUUUAAAAUCUAUCGUAACGAGACAAGUAAAAUUGUGGUUUAGUAUAGUUUUAAUCGGUUGUUAUACUUUCCACAAUAUUUUGUGUACGCCUACAAAAAAGUGUUGUACUUCGUACGACAUACGGUGUAGAAAAUAAAAUUCACACUUUUAGUAAAUUAAAAAAAUAAAAAAUCAUUUAUACAACAAAAUAAUAUAAGUGUAAGUUAAAACAUAUAGCAAGUCGUACUUGUCCCAACUCCCAACUUCCACAAAAAAAAAAAAAAAAAAAAAA
rnacentral:lncRNA from 1 species